rnacentral:rRNA from 1 species
UCGAGAAUCUUCGGCAAUGGGCGAAAGCCUGACCGAGCAAUGCCGCGUGCGGGAUGAAGGCCUUCGGGUUGUAAACCGCUGUCAGAGGGGAUGAAACUUCGGUUGACAGAGCCUCAGAGGAAGCACGGGCUAAGUACGUGCCAGCAGCCGCGGUAACACGUACUGUGCGAACGUUAUUCGGAAUCACUGGGCUUAAAGGGUGCGUAGGCGGCUUUCCAAGUCAGGUGUGAAAUCCCACGGCUCAACCGUGGAACUGCGCUUGAAACUGGUUGGCUUGGGUGAGACAGGGGUGUCUGGAACUUCUCGUGGAGCGGCGAAAUGUGUUGAUAUGAGAAGGAACACCGGUGGCGAAGGCGAGACACUGGGUCUUAACUGACGCUUAGGCACGAAAGCCAGGGGAGCGAACGGGAUUAGAUACCCGCGUAGUCG